UGCAAGUCGACGAGAACGGGUUAUAGCUUGCUAUAACUGUCAGCUAAGUGGCGCACGGGUGAGUAAUAUAUAGUUAACCUGCCCUAGAGAGAGGGAUAACGUUUGGAAACGGACGCUAACACCUCAUAUGCCUUUAAGUCAAAAGACUGCAAGGGAAACAUUUAUGGCUCUAGGAUGGGACUGUACGGUAUCAGUUAGUUGGUGAGGUAAUGGCUCACCAAGACAAUGACACCUAACUGGUUUGAGAGGAUGAUCAGUCACACUGGAACUGAGACACGGUCCAGACUCCUACGGGAGGCAGCAGUGGGGAAUAUUGCACAAUGGACGAAAGUCUGAUGCAGCAACGCCGCGUGGAGGAUGACACAUUUCGGUGCGUAAACUCCUUUUAUAUAGGAAGAUAAUGACGGUACUAUAUGAAUAAGCACCGGCUAACUCCGUGCCAGCAGCCGCGGUAAUACGGAGGGUGCAAGCGUUACUCGGAAUCACUGGGCGUAAAGAGAAUGUAGGCGGGUAAUUAAGUCAGAAGUGAAAUCCAAUAGCUCAUCUAUUGAACUGCUUUUGAAACUGAUAACCUAGAAUAUGGGAGAGGUAGAUGGAAUUUCUGGUGUAGGGGUAAAAUCCGUAGAGAUCAGAGGGAAUACCGAUUGCGAAGGCGAUCUACUGGAACAUUUAUUGACGCUGAGACGCGAAAGCGUGGGGAGCAAACAGGAUUA
rnacentral:rRNA from 1 species